UACGUAGGGCGCAAGCGUUGUCCGGAAUUAUUGGGCGUAAAGAGCUCGUAGGUGGCUUGUUGCGUCUGCCGUGAAAGCCCGUGGCUUAACUGCGGGUCUGCGGUGGAUACGGGCAGGCUAGAGGCAGGUAGGGGAGAAUGGAAUCCCGGUGUAGCGGUGAAAUGCGCAGAGUAUCGGGAGGAACACCGGUGGCGAAGGCGGUUCUCUGGGCCUGACCUGACGCUGAGGAGCGAAGCGUGGGAGCGAAC
rnacentral:rRNA from 1 species